rnacentral:rRNA from 1 species
CAGUCGCCACGGUAACACGUAGGGUGCAAGCGUUAAUCGGAAUUACUGGGCGUAAAGCGUGCGCAGGCGGUUAUAUAAGACAGAUGUGAAAUCCCCGGGCUCAACCUGGGAACUGCAUUUGUGACUGUAUAGCUAGAGUACGGCAGAGGGGGAUGGAAUUCCGCGUGUAGCAGUGAAAUGCGUAGAUAUGCGGAGGAACACCGAUGGCGAAGGCAAUCCCCUGGGCCUGUACUGACGCUCAUGCACGAAAGCGUGGGGAGCAAACAGGAUUAGAUACCCCUGUAGUCCCUGUCUCUUAUAC